AAAGACUUGACGGUACCCCACACCAACCUAGAGGAGCCUGUCCAAUCAACCGAUACCCCACGAUCAACCCAACAUACUCUAGCCCCACAGUCUAUAUACCGCCGUCGCCAGCUUACCUUGCAAAAGAAACAAAGUGAGCACAACAAGCCCCCCCCCCUAACACGACAGGUCGAGGUGUAACUCAUGAGUAUGUAAAGAUGGGCUACAUUUUCUAAAACAGAAAAUCACGGAUAAACCAUGAAACUAAAAACUGAAGGAGGAUUUAGCAGUAUGCUAAGAAUAGAAAACUAAACAGAAACUAGUGCAAUGAGGUGCGUACACACCGCCCGUCAUCCCUG
rnacentral:rRNA from 1 species